CAAUUGGCGCACGGAUCGCUGUCGUUGACAGCUCCAGCCCAGAUAGCCAGAACCUUUAAGGCUAUGCCACUUGCGUGGUGGUUCUCCCAAAGUGCGAUUAGCAUCCGGCGGCUCGCACGGUCACUCCCCAAGAGUGAUGGAUGC
rnacentral:ncRNA from 1 species